AAUUGAAUUUUUCCUUUCAGCCGGCAUUAGGGUUUUAAACCAUAAACUGAGCUCUUCCAUGCAGUCAACAUUAGGGUUUUAAACCCUAAACUAAACUUUUUCCAUUCAGCCAGCAUUAGGGUUUUAAACCCUAAACUGAGCUUUUCCAUGCAGUCAGUAUUAGGGUUUUAAACCCUAAACUGAACUUUUCCUUUCAGCCAGCAUUAGGGUUUUAAACCCUAAACUGAGCUUUUCCAUGCAGUUAGCAUUAGGGUUUUAAACCCUAAACUGAAUUUUUCCUUUCAGCCGGCAUUAGGGUUUUAAACCCUAAACUGAGCUCUUCCAUGCAGUCAGCAUUAGGGUUUUAAACCCUAAACUGAAUUUUUCCAUUCAGCCAGCAUUAGGGUUCUAAACCCUAAACUGAGCUUUUCUAUGCAAUCAGCAUUAGGGUUUUAAACCCUAAACUGAAUUUUUCCUUUCAGCCGGCAUUAGGGUUUUAAACCCUAAACUGAGUUUUUCCAUGCAGUCAGUAUUAGGGUUUUAAACCCUAAACUGAACUUUUCCUUUCAGCCAGCAUUAUGGUUUUAAACCCUAAACUGAGCUUUUCCAUGCAGUCAGCAUUAGGGUUUUAAACCCUAAACUGAAUUUUUCCUUUCAGCCGGCAUUAGGGUUUUAAACCAUAAACUGAGCUCUUCCACGCAGUCAACAUUGGGGUUUUAAACCCUAAACUGAACUUUUUCCAUUCAGCCAGCAUUAGGGUUUUAAACCCUAAACUGAGCUUUUCCAUGCAGUCAGCAUUAGGGUUUUAAACCCUAAACUGAAUUUUUCCUUUCAUACGGCAUUAGGGUUUUAAACCCUAAACUGAGCUCUUCCAUGCAGUCAACAUUAGGGUUUUAAACCCUAAACGGAAUUUUUCCUUUAGUCAGCAUUAGGGUUUUAAACCCUAAACUGAACUUUUUCCAUUCAGCCAGCAUUAGGGUUUUAAACCCUAAACUGAGUUUUUCCAUGCAGUCAGUAUUAGGGUUUUAAACCCUAAACUGAACUUUUCCUUUCAGCCAGCAUUAGGGUUUUAAACCCUAAACUGAGCUUUUCCAUGCAGUUAGCAUUAGGGUUUUAAACUCUAAACUGAAUUUUUCCUUUCAGCCGGCAUUAGGGUUUUAAACCCUAAACUAAACUCUUCCAUGCAGUCAGCAUUAGGGUUUUAAACCCUAAACUGAAUUUUUCCUUUAGUCAGCAUUAGGGUUUUAAACCCUAAACUGAACUUUUUCCAUUCAGCCAGCAUUAGGGUUUUAAACCCUAAACUGAGCUUUUCCAUGUAGUCAGCAUUAGGGUUUUAAACCCUAAACUGAACUUUUCCUUUCAGCCGGCAUUAGGGUUUUAAACCCUAAACUGAGCUUUUCCAUGCAGUCAGCAUUAGGGUUUUAAACCCUAAACUGAAUUUUUCCUUUAGUCAGCAUUAGGGUUUUAAACCCUAAACUGAACUUUUUCCAUUCAGCCAGCAUUAGGGUUUUAAACCCUAAACUGAACUUUUUCCAUUCAGCCAGCAUUAGGGUUUUAAACCCUAAACUGAGUUUUUCCAUGCAAUCAGCAUUAGGGUUUUAAAACCCUAAACUAAAUUUUUCCUUUCAACCGGCAUUAGGGUUUUAAACCCUAAACUGAACUUUUUCCUUUAGUCAGCAUUAGGGUUUUAAACCCUAAACUGAACUUUUUCCUUUAGUCAGCAUUAGGGUUUUAAACCCUAAACUGAACUUUUUCCAUUCAGUCAGCAUUAGGGUUUUAAACCCUAAACUGAAUUUUUCCUUUAGUCAGCAUUUGGGUUUUAAACCCUAAACUGAACUUUUUCCUUUAGUCAGCAUUAGGGUUUUAAACCCUAAACUGAACUUUUUCCAUUCAGCCAGCAAUUGGGUUUUAAACCCUAAAAU
rnacentral:lncRNA from 1 species